UUUUGAAUCGGGAUAAGCUUCUUUAGAGCAUCUCCAUUUUUUUCCAUCUGUUCUUCUGCAUCUCCCUGGUUCUGGAUCUAUUUUCCUCCCAAAUCCCAUCUGGAAACAGUUCCAUCCAACUCCAACUGCAGAUUAAUGAAAUACUUCAAACAGUUGGCAUGCAUAUCCAUGUUCAAAAACUUUCUGAGAAACGGUUUUCAAGUUCAGAUGCUGUUUUCUGUUUUGACAAGUGAAGGAAGAGUGUUUUUUUUCUUGUAGGAAAUACUUCAAACAGUUGGCAUGCAUAUCCAUGUUCGAGAAGCACCUAAGAUCUGAGGUUUAAAAAAAAACUAGCAUGAAAAACAUACAAUUAGACGACAUACUUGAAUGAUGGGGAGAGUGGUGGUGCAGGAGAAGUCUCGUGGAAGAAUCCAAGCUUCUUUGGAUGGAGAAGAGGAGAUCAGGAGGAAUGGGCAUGCCGGAAAUCAUGUAUUUGUAAACAAGCGCUUGGUGUUCUAGCUCUUGCCAUUGACUUGAUGUGAACGGAAAUCGAGAAUUGUCGUUCCUUGCUGUAGUCAUCGUUUCCAUUGAUCGGGUCUUCUUUUCCGGUCAAGAUAUUGAAGAAAGAGAAACCCCUGGAAUUUCUGGGUAUAUGAAUUAAGCUUCAGAAAGAGAUAAAAAUAUACAGGUCGUUUCUGUUCGUGAUAGA